rnacentral:rRNA from 1 species
ACUCCUACGGGAGGCAGCAGUGGGGAAUAUUGCACAAUGGGGGAAACCCUGAUGCAGCCAUGCCGCGUGUGUGAAGAAGGCCUUCGGGUUGUAAAGCACUUUCAGUAGGGAGGAAGGUAGUGUAGUUAACACCUGCAUUAUUUGACGUUACCUACAGAAGAAGCACCGGCUAACUCCGUGCCAGCAGCCGCGGUAAUACGGAGGGUGCGAGCGUUAAUCGGAAUUACUGGGCGUAAAGCGCAUGCAGGCGGCCUGUUAAGUCAGAUGUGAAAGCCCGGGGCUUAACCUCGGAAUUGCAUUUGAAACUGGCAGGCUAGAGUCUUGUAGAGGGGGGUAGAAUUUCAGGUGUAGCGGUGAAAUGCGUAGAGAUCUGAAGGAAUACCAGUGGCGAAGGCGGCCCCCUGGACAAAGACUGACGCUCAGAUGCGAAAAGGCUGGGGGAGCAAACAGGAUUAGAUACCCUGGUAGGAUAGCG